UCUAAACCCAUACAACCACGAG
rnacentral:siRNA from 1 species